AGCACAAGAAGUGCUAUCGAAAGAACUUUUGGGGUUUUAAAAAUGCGUUUCAGAGUUUUGGAUAGGUCUGGAGGAGCACUUCAAUAUUCGCCUGAAAAAUGUAAUGAUAUAAUUCUAGUUGCAUGCAUGUUGCACAACAUUGCAAUUUCCCAAGGCAAUUUAGAGGAGGAGUGUCCCAAUGAUCCCACAGAUGACACUUAUAUCCCUCAAGAAAUUAUAGGCAGACACACUACAAGGGCAGGUGUACAAAAUAGAUUGGAAAUUAUUGAAAGAUAUUUUUCAUAAUACAUGUCAUCACCCAGAGUUUUAAUUAUUUUAUAAGAAAUGUACACAAUUCUUUGAUAUUGAAGUUAACUCCACCCAUUUGAAAAAAUAAAACUUUUGCUUAUUUAUCAAAAA